GGCCGCAUGGCCCAAUGGUCAAGGCGCUUGACUACGAAUCAAGAGAUUCCAGGUUCGAAUCCUGGUGUGGUCA